rnacentral:rRNA from 1 species
AUUGAACGCUGGCGGCAGGCCUAACACAUGCAAGUCGAGCGGAAGAAGGGAGCUUGCUCCUGGAUUCAGCGGCGGACGGGUGGGUAAUGCCUAGGAAUCUGCAUGGGUGUGGGGGAUAACGUCCGGAAACGGGCGCUAAUACCGCAUACGUCCUGAGGGAGAAAGUGGGGGAACUUAGGACCUCACGCUAUCACAUGAGCUUAGGUCGGAUUAGCUAGUUGGUGGGGUAAAGGCCUACCAAGGCGACGAUCCGUAACUGGUCUGAGAGGAUGAUCAGUCACACUGGAACUGAGACACGGUCCAGACUCCUACGGGAGGCAGCAGUGGGGAAUAUUGGACAAUGGGCGAAAGCCUGAUCCAGCCAUGCCGCGUGUGUGAAGAAGGUCUUCGGAUUGUAAAGCACUUUAAGUUGGGAGGAAGGGCAGUAAGUUAAUACCUUGCUGUUUUGACGUUACCAACAGAAUAAGCACCGGCUAACUUCGUG